rnacentral:rRNA from 1 species
CCUACGGGAGGCAGCAGUGGGGAAUUUUCCGCAAUGGGCGAAAGCCUGACGGAGCAACGCCGCGUGGGUGAUGAAGUCUUUCGGGACGUAAAACCCUUUCAGCAGGGACGAACACAAUGACGGUACCUGCAGAAGAAGCAUCGGCUAACUACGUGCCAGCAGCCGCGGUAAUACGUAGGAUGCGAGCGUUGUCCGGAUUUAUUGGGCGUAAAGCGAACGUAGGCGGUUUCUUAAGUUUGGUCUUAAAGACCGGGGCUCAACCCCGGGAAUGGACUGAAUACUGGGAGACUAGAGGAUGUUAGAGGAAAGUGGAAUUCCAAGUGUAGCGGUGAAAUGCGUAGAUAUUUGGAGGAACGACCAGUGGCGAAAGCGGCUUUCUGGGACAUUUCUGACGCUGAGGUUCGAAAGCUCGGGGAGCAAACAGGAUUAGAUACCCUGGUAGUCCGAGCCGUAAACGAUGGACACUAGGUGUCGGGGGUAUCGACCCCCCGGUGCCGUAGCUAACGCGUUAAGUGUCCCGCCUCGGGAGUACGGUCGCAAGACUGAAACUUAAAUGAAUUGACGG